AACGUCGCCUCAAUAAAAUAUUGUCGUAUGUGCAAAAUUGAGGUUUUGAGAUUUGAAUGCAGUUUUGCUAAUUGAUUUUUUCUCUUUCAUUCUGUGAAAUCCGUUUUUCGAUAUCUGUCUUCGUUUCCGAGAUAAUCAGUAUGCUUUUUGUCGUAUGUGUAGGUUUACAAACAUUUUCAGUAUCUAUUUGUAGUAAGUGCACUGAAAAAAAUUAUCACAUACUACAAUUUUUUCAUACAAAAUCUGUGUUUUUCUUCGUUCGGUAAAUAAUUGUAGUAUGUGCUAUUUUUGCUAAACAUACGACAAUAUUUUACUGGAAUUUCGGUAAACGUUUGUCGUAUGUCCCAUAAGGAAAUACACAGACGAGUGUAAUUUCAGUCGCAAUCAAGAUGUCGAGCAGGGCGGACGAGUCACCUGCGCCAAGUUUAUCGGAGGAGCUUUAUGCCAUGAGCAACGAAAUAUUGGAUGAUGAAUUCCUCGAUGUCGAUCCAUUAGGUUCGCCCAAUGAGUGCUCUGAAUCCAGUGACAAGGACUUUUCAGCAGACGAUGAAGAUAACGGCCAUCCCACGUACCAGUUAGAAAAUCAAAAUGAAAACUCGCCCCUCCGAAAUUUUUAUGAAGCUGCACAUGAUAUUCUUAUGUCUAUACUCCAUCCACAUCUAAAAAUAAUCAACCCAACGAUCGGAAUCUACCAUUCUAAUUCUAAAAAUUGUUCAAAAAUAACAUAAAAAUGUUUUAUUUUUUCUAUGAAUUAAAUGUGAUUUAAGUUUUUUUCUGUUUGGACAAAAAAAAGUAUAGGUAUUUUAAGAACGGCCAUUCCACACGGAGAAGACACAAACAUUGACUUUGUUUUCAGUCUAUCUCGUUGAAGAAGCAACCUUUUUUCUUAAAACUUGGUAGGUGUUAAAGGCUCAUGAUAAAGUUGAUGUUCUAGAAGUUUCACGAAAAACUAAUUUAACGUAGCCAAAUUAUUCACAGAUAAAGCGGUAACGGAGAAGACGCGUACAAAUCUUCUCCGUUACCGUCUUUGUCUGUUAAUAAUUUAGCUAUUUUGAAUUCGUUUUUCUUGAAACUUCUAGAACUUCAACUUUAUAAUGUGCCCUUAAGACCUACCAAG